UCAAAUUUUAUGAAGUUGUCGUUUCUGGCUCCGGAGUUUGGCUAUGGAUCAAGGAAAAGGAUAGCUUGCCAGGUUAGCUAGCACACAAUGGUGGCACAGGAAUUCUAUGGUUAACAUGCAAUCAGAUCAUUCGCCUAAAAUCCCAUUAGCUUUCUUCCUACGUUUGCAAGCUUGCCUGCAUUUCAUCAUAGGAUUAAUUUGCACCACAUUCUAACCCGUGCAGAUCAUAAACUUCCAAAAUAUCCUGAAAAAAAUUCAGCAAAUCAUCGACAGAAGGGUUGCAGAACAGAUUUUGGGCAGCCCUGUUUGCUUCAAGAGGGAAAGUUUGGUUUAAAUGGGUGAACUCAAAAUUAAUAUAUGUGGUCAAAGAUUGUAAACCCAUAUAGUUUUUUUUUUUUUUUUUAUAAUGAGAAAUUGCAUAUGUUCUCUGCUUAUAGAUGACAAAUCUUUCAGCAAAAACAGGAUCAACCCAUUGUGCAAUUGUCAAACAAGUGGCCUAAGACGUGGAUACAGUGAUUCAAAGAUUAAGCACAGACUGAUCUGGAAUUGUUAUCUCCUAGACGUUAAGGGAGGUUUGAAGGAUGAUUACCUCCGUCACCAAACUGAGUCAGCAUACCCUGUCUUCGAGCUGGCUUACAUCCACUGCAUAUGUGCUCUUUAGUUGUUCAAAGCUGGACGCUUGAUUAAUCUUUGGGUCUUAAUAAACAAAAUGCUUGUUUUAGGGUAUAAAAAAUUUGGUUGCAGAUCUAAGAUAGUAUGUCAAAGAUCAUGAAAUUAAUUAAAAAAUUCAUCAAAAUUCAUCAAAAUGCCAGUUUGAAUGAGUUCAAGAAUCUCAUCCAACAACUUCUGAUACGCAAUUUAUUACUGCUUAGCCAUUGAAUGAGGACAUUGAUCGUUUUUGACUUCAUUUAUCUUCACCCAGCAGACGGGAGGAGAAUGGAGGAGGAGAGGCAUUUUGCUGCCAUAUGCAACAGAAGAACUAAAAUCAAUACGAGGGAAUAGAUACCUAUUGCAUCCAUGAUUGAAGACGUUUGCUGUUGUUCAAUGUCACUGCCAAUAUAGGCCACUGGAAUUUCUCCUUUCUAUAUUCAAUCAUGUUCAUAGAUCACAUGUAAUGUACUGCAUCAUAAAACAUGGUUGGUAUUCUGUGCCAUACAUACCUUAAUCAUAUUGAUAGACCAACCAUAUAAUAUAUUUCAGAGAUUUGAAAUGGCAGAAAAGCAUAUUCCAAGUUCCUGUAGUUCAAAAUGUUUGUACUAGGGCCUAAGGGCUAAGCUAAUAUACACCAAGAGAAGGCUUUAGCCUUUGAGCCAAGGUGCCCUAUUGGGAGCAUCUUUACUUUUACCCAUUUAGACAGGGAAAUUGAGCUGAAGUUAACAGAACUUUGUUCAUGUAAUUGUAAACAAUCAGCUAUUACAGUCAAAUGCAUUUACAAGAAGAUUAGUCAA